rnacentral:rRNA from 1 species
UACGAAGGGGGCUAGCGUUGCUCGGAAUCACUGGGCGUAAAGGGUGCGUAGGCGGGGCUUUAAGUCGGAGGUGAAAUCCUGGAGCUCAACUCCAGAACUGCCUUCGAUACUGUAGAGCUUGAGUUCGGGAGAGGUGAGUGGAACUGCGAGUGUAGAGGUGAAAUUCGUAGAUAUUCGCAAGAACACCAGUGGCGAAGGCGGCUCACUGGCCCGAUACUGACGCUGAGGUGCGAAAGCGUGGGGAGCGAACAGG